ACGCUGGCGGCGUGCUUAACACAUGCAAGUCGAACGGAAAGGCCCUGCUUUUGUGGGGUGCUCGAGUGGCGAACGGGUGAGUAACACGUGAGUAACCUGCCCUUGACUUUGGGAUAACUUCAGGAAACUGGGGCUAAUACCGGAUAGGAGCUCCUGCUGCAUGGUGGGGGUUGGAAAGUUUCGGCGGUUGGGGAUGGACUCGCGGCUUAUCAGCUUGUUGGUGGGGUAGUGGCUUACCAAGGCUUUGACGGGUAGCCGGCCUGAGAGGGUGACCGGCCACAUUGGGACUGAGAUACGGCCCAGACUCCUACGGGAGGCAGCAGUGGGGAAUAUUGCACAAUGGGCGGAAGCCUGAUGCAGCAACGCCGCGUGCGGGAUGACGGCCUUCGGGUUGUAAACCGCUUUCGCCUGUGACGAAGCGUGAGUGACGGUAAUGGGUAAAGAAGCACCGGCUAACUACGUGCCAGCAGCCGCGGUGAUACGUAGGGUGCGAGCGUUGUCCGGAUUUAUUGGGCGUAAAGGGCUCGUAGGUGGUUGAUCGCGUCGGAAGUGUAAUCUUGGGGCUUAACCCUGAGCGUGCUUUCGAUACGGGUUGACUUGAGGAAGGUAGGGGAGAAUGGAAUUCCUGGUGGAGCGGUGGAAUGCGCAGAUAUCAGGAGGAACACCAGUGGCGAAGGCGGUUCUCUGGGCCUUUCCUGACGUUGAGGAGCGAAAGCGUGGGGAGCGAACAGGCUUAGAUACCCUGGUAGUCCACGCUGUAAACGGUGGGUACUAGGUGUGGGGUCCAUUCCACGGGUUCCGUGCCGUAGCUAACGCUUUAAGUACCCCGCCUGGGGAGUACGGCCGCAAGGCUAAAACUCAAAGGAAUUGACGGGGCCCCGCACAAGCGGCGGAGCAUGCGGAUUAAUUCGAUGCAACGCGUAGAACCUUACCUGGGUUUGACAUGGAUCGGGAGUGCUCAGAGAUGGGUGUGCCUCUUUUGGGGUCGGUUCACAGGUGGUGCAUGGCUGUCGUCAGCUCGUGUCGUGAGAUGUUGGGUUAAGUCCCGCAACGAGCGCAACCCUUGUUCACUGUUGCCAGCACGUUAUGGUGGGGACUCAGUGGAGACCGCCGGGGUCAACUCGGAGGAAGGUGGGGAUGACGUCAAGUCAUCAUGCCCCUUAUGUCCAGGGCUUCACGCAUGCUACAAUGGCUGGUACAGAGAGUGGCGAGCCUGUGAGGGUGAGCGAAUCUCGGAAAGCCGGUCUCAGUUCGGAUUGGGGUCUGCAACUCGACCUCAUGAAGUCGGAGUCGCUAGUAAUCGCAGAUCAGCAACGCUGCGGUGAAUACGUUCCCGGG
rnacentral:rRNA from 1 species